ACUAAAUAGAACCCGGGUAGUCCUAGCCGUAAACGAUGAGCACUGGACCCGGAGCUCUGCACGAGGGUUUCGGUCGUAGACGAAAAGUGUUAAAGUGCUCCGCCGUGGGGAGUAUGGUCGCAAGGCUGAAACUCAAAGAAAUUGACGGGGGCUCACACAAGCGGUGGAGGAUGUGGCUUAAUUCGAGGCUACGCGAAGAACCUUAUCCUAGUCUUGACAUGUUUAGGAAUCUCCCUGGAAGGGGAGAGUGCUCGCAAGAGAGCCUUUACACAGGUGCUGCAUGGCUGUCGUCAGCUCGUGUCGUGAGAUGUCGGGUUAAGUCCCUUAACGAGCGAAACCCUUGUCCUUAGUUACCAGCGAGUAAAGUCGGGGACUCUAAGGAGACUGCCGGUGUUAAACCGGAGGAAGGUGGGGAUGACGUCAAGUCCUCAUGGCCUUUAUGACUAGGGCUGCACACGUCCUACAAUGGCGCGCACAAAGCGAUGCAAACUCGCGAGAGCCAGCAAAUCGCAAAAAUCGCGCCUCAGUUCGGAUUGCA
rnacentral:rRNA from 1 species